rnacentral:rRNA from 1 species
UGAACGCUGGCGGCAGGCCUAACACAUGCAAGUCGAGCGAGAAAGCACUUCGGUGCGAGUACAGCGGCGGACGGGUGAGUAACGCGUAGGAAUCUACCCAGUAGUGGGGGACAACAUGGUGAAAACCAUGCUAAUACCGCAUACGCCCUAUGGGGGAAAGCGGGGGACCUUCGGGCCUCGCGCUAUUGGAUGAGCCUGCGUCGGAUUAGCUUGUUGGUGAGGUAAAAGCUCACCAAGGCGACGAUCCGUAGCUGGUCUGAGAGGAUGAUCAGCCACACUGGAACUGAGACACGGUCCAGACUCCUACGGGAGGCAGCAGUGGGGAAUAUUGCGCAAUGGGCGAAAGCCUGACGCAGCCAUGCCGCGUGUGUGAAGAAGGCCUUAGGGUUGUAAAGCACUUUCAAUUGGGAAGAAAAGUUGAUCGUUAAUAGCGGUCAGCCCUGACAUUACCUUUAGAAGAAGCACCGGCUAACUCC